AGGACGAACGCUGGCGGCGUGCUUAACACAUGCAAGUCGAGCGGUAAGGCCCUUUCGGGGGUACACGAGCGGCGAACGGGUGAGUAACACGUGAGCAAUCUGCCCUUCACUUCGGGAUAAGCCUCGGAAACGGGGUCUAAUACCGGAUAUGACUGCGCCAUGCAUGUGGUGUGGUGGAAAGUUCUGGCGGUGAGGGUAUGAGCUCGCGGCCUAUCAGCUUGGUUGGUGGGGUAAUGGCCU
rnacentral:rRNA from 1 species